AAUCGUGGAGAAAGUUGAAAAAAAAAAUAUCGUGGUCCGUUUAAUAUAACCGUACUUUCAGAAUAUUCACGGUAAGAAAUAUAAGAAGCGAUAGAGAAUAUAUAGACAACCGAAUUGCAGUUUUAAUAUGUAAGAAGCAGUAAAAAAAAAGUAUAGAAGACUCACGAAUUUUAAUAUGUAAGAAGCAGUAGAAAAAAUAUAGAAGACUCACGAAUUUUAAUAUGCAAGAAACAGUAGAAAAAAAAGUAUAGAAGACUCACGAAUUUUAAUAUGUAAGAAACAGUAGAAAAAAAGUAUAGAAGACUCACGAAUUUUAAUAUGUAAGAAACAGUAGAAAAAAAAGUAUAGAAGACUCACGAAUUUUAAUAUAUAUAAUAAGCAGUAGAAAAUAAAUAUAUAGAGAAUUGAAUAUCAUUUUAAGACUUGAAAGUGGAAAUAUUCAUAAACUAAAUGCUAAAACAAAGAUACUGACGCCUAAAUUACAAGCUGUCCCUUCUGUUGAGUUCAUUGCCAGUAAAAUCAGGAUAUCAAAUUACUACCACUACUACUACUACUGCUACUGCUGCUUCUGUUGCUGCUGCUUCUGUUGCUGCUACCACCUCCAUUACUAAGAGUUUACAAGCUGGGUUUUUUUUGAGUUGGUAUAACUGAUAUUUCUGGCGCUACUAUAAAAAUAAUUGCUUUCCCCAUGAAGGUCUUGGGCCGACCACCAAGCCCCUGAAGAAAGCCUACCGGCGCUAUAGACGAACACGUAAAAAAAAAAAAAAAGAAAAAAAAAUACCGUUUCUAUUAUCUAUUUCAGUUCAGCCAUAAGAUUCAUAUAGUGAACAAAACGAAACAUAAAAAAAUACAACACCGUUACAGGAAAUAAUAGAACACAGACAAGACCAACACAGAAAAAGUAAAACAUGCAUAAGAAACACUUGAAGAUAUUACACUGCGCUACAUUUACAAGAAACGUUAAAAACACCGAUGAAAUAUUAAACACUCUCGAAGUCUUGCGUGGAUUAAUAAAUUCAUGCGUUCCUCUUAAGUCAGCAGCUCCCAGACUAAUUAACCCAUAUCCUCAAACAUUUCGGGUCUUGCACACUAAACCAAAUAAAAGGAGGAGGAGGAGGGAGAAGAAGAAGAAGUAGACCCACAUCUGUUAAGGCUUUCGUGGAGGCUCUGGGUAUUUCCAUGGGUAGUUUUAUGAGCUUAGUGAUAGUUUGACAAGACUUCUGCACCAUGAACCUGAAAAAUAAAACACUCAUGGACAUCCAAUUAAUCUACGAGGUUAUAGGUAUUUCCAUGGGUAGUUUUAUGAGCUUAGUGAUAGUUUGACAAGACUUCUGCACCAUGAACCUGAAAAAUAAAACACUCAUGGGAAUCCGAUUGAUCUCCGAGGUUCUGGGUAUUUCCAUGGGUAGUUUUAUGAGCUUAGUGAUAGUGUGACACAUCUUCUCCACCGUGAACGUGAAAAAUAAAGCACUCAUUAGAACACCAUCAAUCUCCUUUGUGGCCUUUGGAUAUAUUUGUGGUGAGAGCCGAAUGUGUCUGAAAAUAUGUUCCUUAGUAAGUUUGUUUAUCGUAGUAACGCAAUCAUGUCUUCUCUUAUGAUUUUUUUUACAGUAAAUAGCUCAAGGGCAAAUCACACACACAAAAAAAGAAGAAAAUAAUGAAAAAGAAAAGCCCGCAAAUCACUGUUCCUAUAUAAAAGAGUUAAGAGUCCAAUGUCACUUAAUUAUCCUGUCAUUGAUUUCUUGUUGGUAUUUAAUUUUCUCAGUUUCAGGACCUUGGCGAUUUAAUUUUGUCUAUCUUCUGCUUUCUCCCCGUUGCUCUUUGUCCUCACGUGACCCCCUUUUUGACCUCUGCAGAACCCUCACGCCCCUCACCCCCCCCCCUUUCCUUUUUACAUGUCUAUCAUCAAUAUAUACUCUACCGGUUUUAAAAUUGGAUGUACCUUUCGCAUAUCGUCUCGACAGUGCUUGGAAAAAAAGCAUCAAGUUAACUAAAAUAAGAAAAAAAUCUGAUAAAAACUGUACCAUUUGGGCUCAACCUUGGCCUGGCAGGUGAAGAGAAGGAGGAGGAGGAGGAGGAAGACUCGUGGUGUGUGUCGCGCUAUCAAUCAGACAGUCGCGAGUGUAAAUACGUCAGGGGUGUGCAUCAGCGUGAGCCAUGAGAGGUGCAAGGCUUGAGAGGAAAGAAAUAAUAGAACAGAAGGCAGAUAAUGGUGACUGACUGACUUGGGUGACACGAAAGAAAAAGAGCAGAUAACGAUGAUUGUUUGACUGACUAGAAGGGACUUGGGUUUACAUGGGUUUGAAAAAAGAAAUUAAGCAGAAAGCAGAAAAUGGUGACUGACUGACUUGGAAGACACGAAAGAAAAAGAGCAGAUAACGAUGACUGUUUGACUGACUAGAAGGGACUUGGGUUUACAUGGGUUUGAAAAAAGAAAUUAAGCAGAAAGCAGAAAAUGGUGACUGACUUACUUGGGUGACAGGUUUACAGGGACACGAAAAAUAGAGCAGAUAACGUUGACUGACUGACUAACUGAGAGGGACUUGGGUUUACACGGGUUUGGAAAAAGAAAUAAUAGAACAGAAAAUGCAGAUAAUGGUGACUGACUGAGUGACUUAAGAAUGCACGGUUUGAAAAUAAAAAUAGAAGUCAGACAUUGGCGACUUGACUUACUGAGGCGGAUAUGAAAAAAAAGAAUAGAAAGAUGAUGAUGGUAACUUGAACGACUUUGGUUUGUACUAAUAUGAAGAAAAAUUGAAAGUAAAUAAAGGUGACUUAAAUGACUGGGGCGAUUUUGGGUUUGACGAAUAUU